rnacentral:rRNA from 1 species
GACUCUUGGCAACGGAUAUCUCGGCUCUCGCAUCGAUGAAGAACGUAGCAAAAUGCGAUACCUGGUGUGAAUUGCAGAAUCCCGCGAACCAUCGAGUUUUUGAACGCAAGUUGCGCCCGAGGCCCUCCUGCCGAAGGCACGUCUGCCUGGGCGUCA